rnacentral:rRNA from 1 species
CACGUAGGGGACGAGCGUUGUCCGGAUUCAUUGGGCGUAAAGCGCGCGUAGGCGGCUCUGCAAGUCGGUCGUGAAAUGCCGGGGCUCAACCCCGGGACUGCGUCCGAUACUUCCGGGCUGGAGGUAGGUAGGGGAGAUCGGAAUUCCUGGUGUAGCGGUGAAAUGCGCAGAUAUCAGGAGGAACACCGGUGGCGAAGGCGGAUCUCUGGGCCUUACCUGACGCUGAGGCGCGAAAGCCAGGGGAGCAAACGGG